AGAUUUUAGAAAUAAUCAGGGUUAUUCUGAAGCUGUAUGAGCAGUGGAAGAACUUUGAUGAGAGGAAAGAGAUGGCUACUAUUCUUAGUAAAAUGCCUAAACCAAAACCACCUCCAAACAGUGAAGGAGAACAGGGUCCAAAUGGUAGCCAGAACUCUAGUUAUAGCCAAUCUUAAGACAUUCCAAAGAAUUUCUUUAUGGACCACUUUGACUCAAGACAUCCUGGGAUCUUCCCUGUGUUCAUGAAAUGGACAGAAGGUUUUAGUAACAUCUUUGACAAAGAACUUGAAGAAUAAAUAGCUUGUUUGUGUCAAGCAUUUUGAAAGCUUUUUCUUUAAAACUGCAUCAUUUUCUCUGACGCUGGAGCAAAUGUACUAUGAUUUUUCAGUGUAAGGAAUCAACCGUUAAACCGAGCUGCAAAAGAUUAACACUAUCCACUCAAAACAAAUAGUACAGUAUUGGUUUUGUUUGCUUUGAGAAAAUUGUAACUUGCCAUUGAAGUGAACUAUUUUUAAAGCAACAGUAACCUGAAGCCUAAGUGUAAGCAUAUUAAUGACCUGUGUUGUUUUCAUUUUGUUUGUGACUGAAGGAAGAUAGUGCACUGUAUGUUAAAUCUAUUCAUUACCUUGAGUUUUGUUGAUUUUUUUUAAAAAAAAAAUGGAUUCUGUAACAAGUAACACAGCAAUCCUUCAGAAACAAAGCCUAAAAGAGCCUGCAAAGAAUAUUGUUACAGUUUUAAUGAAAGCUGCAGGAAAGAAAUCCAGUUCCUUUUUUGGAUUAGAAAAAUGCUGUUUUACUCAGUAUAUGUACUUGGAUGUUUUUGCCAUGAAGCGUAGUAGCUCAGCUUUCCAGAAAAGUGCAAUAUGUAUAGUGAUUCUGCAGUUUUCUUAAACAUUUCAAGUGUUAGGAAUUUAAAAAACCCGACAUACUAUGAUUUUUGUUUUCAAGUAAACGUACUGUAUAGUACAAUCGGAAUAUUUCACAAUCAAGUAGAAAUCUGGACAUCAUUGCUAUUUUUUAUGGUGGAUUUUUUUUGUACAAAAGAUAUACACUGUUAGUCUGCCUUCACUGUUAGUGUGAAUUUGUGUGGUUCAUUAGAGAGUUUAUUUAAGAGGAUCAAGCUUUUGGUGAGCUUCAUACUGGCUAAUUUUAAUUGUGAUGUUAGGAGCAACUCUUUAGAAUAACUGAAAUGGGAUUCCUUGGUUAACUAUGUGCUGGAGAAAAUGAGAUUCCUUUAAACAGAAGGCCAUAUCCUGUGUUCCUUACUCAGGCAGAUAUCCCACUGAAGUCAGGAAUUGGCCUAAAUCGAAUUUCUUGAUUUUUAGAUAACUUUGUUUCUAAUUAAGUUCUGUACAAUUUCAUUUUGAAUGAUAAAGCUGACUUGCCCAAGUAUAAAAAUUGAAUGAUAAAAUAAAGUGCAGUA